rnacentral:misc_RNA from 1 species
GUGAAUCAUCAAAUCUUUGAACGCAAAUUGCACUCUCUGGUAUUCCGGGGAGUAUGUUUGUUUGAGGGUUAGUUUGUUACAAUAGUAUAAAGAAAUUUUUACGGAUAUGGAUUUUCGAACAGUUAUAUUUUUGGUAAUCUAAAAUUUAUUAUAACAUAAGGUGAUAUUGGAAAUGUUUAUAUUUAAUUCAUUAAUCAUUAUUACCAACUUUGUUAAGUUGUGUUAUCUUACUAAUU